GUUUAAGAGGAUGUCACUGGACAUUCAGGCAGAGAAACCAGUCAUGGCUUCGCCUUUAGACUCAGACAGCUGCUUCCCAGGACCUUGCUCCUCCGAGGCUCAGGGCACGCCCGGGUCGAGGGAAGUUGUGUCCGAAAUGGUUUCUGAGCUUCUUGGAGGAAACGGAGUCACGGUAGAAAGAAAGACAAUCGUCUCACAAAUGGGUGGUGGCACCAACUCCUUCCAGGAUGGAGCUGAGGCUUCACUGAGACCACCAGAUCCAGGAGCGCCUUAGUGCUAGAAAGCCAGAGAGAAACAUAGGCAGCCAUUGUGCGUUUUGUGAAUUGUUUCGCCCUGCCCAUUUCAUUUGUCUUCCAUCGUAGAAGUUCACGGAAUGCUGUCCUGCUGAAAAGGCAAGAAUUGAUGCUGGGUGUGGGAAGCCCGGAUGAAAGUCAUCAGCCUUUUUUGCCUUUGGGGAAUAAUUUGUAAUCAAGAGAGAAAAGUGCUUUGUGUUUUCCUCGUUCCACCAGCCGACCCACAACAUCCUCCUUUUAACCCCUUGUGUGGCCUUCCCCGUUUCUGAGGUUGUGUGCUUCUCUUCCGUAUCUCAGGAGCUGGGGUUCUGCUGACGUGGAUCAAGCCCCACUCCUGGUUGCAACUGCAGAGAACACUUUUUUUUUGCCUUCUUGACCCCUGUGCUAUAAGGCCUGGCCGGACCCUUGGGCUGGGCUCAGAGACACGGUACCUUUCCUGCCAGCCAGAUGGAACCUCUCUCCUUCUUCCCCCUACACUGGAAAUCGUGGCCAUUACCCAGUGACAAUGCGCGCAUCAACUUCUUCCUCUAAAAAAGCAGCUAAUUAAGAAGAGUUCAAUGAAGAGAGCAGCUUGCGAACGUGUACCUGUGAUUCUUGUCCCUAACAGACCCUGAGGCUCUACCCGCUUUCUGGCCACCCGAAGUCGCACUCGUGGUCUGAGAAUCACAGGAAAGAUGCACUGGCUAAGUGGGCACUUUUUGCUCGGAGCCCGGUGCCUGCCUGGAGUCACGAUCUCCUCUCCUCCCUCGGUGCCUGGGCGGCCUGACACAGCAGGGAACUCAGCGGCCCGAAUAAGAGCAAUCACGUGCGUCUCCAGAAGUGAGCAGACAGUGUGCGAGUGGUGCAGUGGACGGCAGCCUGCAGCUCCGCUCCCAUCUCCCUUUCAAGCACAGCAGGCUUUUGCAGGACUGGAGCACUCCACGGCCAGGCACGAUGAUGGCGAUGAUGGCGAGAAAGGAUUAGCAUAACUUUCUGGAGCCCUCGACUGUCACUUAGCAGGGAUAUGGCACACAGGCCAGAAGGUCAGCUGAAGGGCCCACCAUGUUGUGAUAAUGGAGAUUCCACCAGCAUCAGCUGGAGAAGGACGUGGCAGAGACUCAGAGAGGUCAAGAGCUCUUCAAGAGGAUCGGCCACCAUGGACAACACAGGGCCCUGACAAUGGCGGAGAACAGGACAUGAGUCUGUCAGCUCCAGAAGUGAGGAAUCAACGAGAAAGCCAUCUUCAAACAAGAAAGAUAGCCUUUGCCAAGAGCUAGACUCUCCUGGGACCUAAUCUUGAACUCUAAGCCUCCAGAACUGUGAGAAAGAAAAUUCUAUUCCUUAAGCCACCCAGUCUGUGGCAUUCUGUUACAGCAGACCAAGGUGACCUAGACAACUUCUGCCCCUUCCCAUGGCACACCAGGCCCCCGUGGCCCAGCCCCGGCCUGCACCUGACGUCUGCUCACUGUCUUGGCCCCAUCAUCAGCUCUUGUCCCACA
rnacentral:lncRNA from 1 species